rnacentral:rRNA from 1 species
GACGAACGCUGGCGGCGUGCUUAACACAUGCAAGUCGAACGAUGAAGCCGGAGCUUGCUCUGGUGAAUUAGUGGCGAACGGGUGAGUAACACGUGAGUAACCUGCCCUUGACUCUGGGAUAACUGCGGGAAACUGUAGCUAAUACCGGAUACGACCCUCGGAGGCAUCUCCUGGGGGUGGAAAGAAUUUCGGUCAAGGAUGGACUCGCGGCCUAUCAGCUAGUUGGUGAGGUAAAGGCUCACCAAGGCGACGACAGGUAGCCGGCCUGAGAGGGUGACCGGCCACACUGGGACUGAGACACGGCCCAGACUCCUACGGGAGGCAGCAGUGGGGAAUAUUGCACAAUGGGCGCAAGCCUGAUGCAGCGACGCCGCGUGAGGGAUGAAGGUCUUCGGAUUGUAAACCUCUUUCAGUAGGGACGAAGCGAAAGUGACGGUACCUAAAGAAGAAGCACCGGCUAACUACGUGCCAGCAGCCGCGGUAA